UACGUAGGGUGCAAGCGUUGUCCGGAUUUAUUGGGCGUAAAGAGCGUGUAGGCGGCCAGGUAGGUCUGCUGUGAAAACUCGAGGCUCAACCUCGAGACGUCGGCGGAAACCAUCUGGCUAGAGUCCGGAAGAGGAGAGUGGAAUUCCUGGUGUAGCGGUGAAAUGCGCAGAUAUCAGGAAGAACACCCGUGGCGAAGGCGGCUCUCUGGGACGGUACUGACGCUGAGACGCGAAAGCGUGGGGAGCGAGCAGG
rnacentral:rRNA from 1 species